rnacentral:rRNA from 1 species
GAUGAACGCUGGCGGCGUGCUUAACACAUGCAAGUCGAACGGUGAAGGCGGAGCUUGCUCUGCUGGAUCAGUGGCGAACGGGUGAGUAACACGUGAGCAAUCUGCCCCUGACUCUGGGAUAAGCGCUGGAAACGGCGUCUAAUACUGGAUACGAGCUGCGAAGGCAUCUUCAGCAGCUGGAAAGAAUUUCGGUCAUGGAUGAGCUCGCGGCCUAUCAGCUUGUUGGUGAGGUAAUGGCUCACCAAGGCGUCGACGGGUAGCCGGCCUGAGAGGGUGACCGGCCACACUGGGACUGAGACACGGCCCAGACUCCUACGGGAGGCAGCAGUGGGGAAUAUUGCACAAUGGGCGAAAGCCUGAUGCAGAAACGCCGCGUGAGGGACGACGGCCUUCGGGUUGUAAACCUCUUUUAGCAGGGAAGAAGCGAAAGUGACGGUACCUGCAGAAAAAGCGCCGGCUAACUACGUG